GUGUCUUUGCUUGCGUCUUCUCCGAUCUUCCUACUCGAUAUCAUUCUCUAUUUUCUGUUUUCCUAGUUAAUGAUUGAUGGAACCCAUCUUUCUAAAGCCAAAUGAGAAACAUUCUUGAAUCUUGCUUCAAUCAACGACCUUUUUUUAACUAUUGAUUCGAAUUUCCUGGUUUGGUUUCUGAUAUCGCAGUAGCAGCAAUACUUAUUAAAACCAAGAAAAAAAAAUGGGUUUGGGUAUAUCAAUCUUGGUGGGAAUUCAAGCAACCGUACUAUUCAUCUUCUUUUCGUACCUUAGAACCCUUGGUUUCACCCUGUUGUCAAUUCCAUUCUUGUAUGGUUCAUUGAUAUGUUUACUUAUAUCUUUAGCUUCUCACCCAUCUAUCAAUCUCCCUAUGCUUUUGGGCAAAAACCCAGAUGGGAGUAUCCCAAUUUGGUCAAUUAUCAUGUUCAGUCCAUACUUGAUUUUGGUUAGAAUCUUUUCAAUCCUGCGCAGAUUGACCAGUGGUGAGGAGCCUUACCAUGAGAUUUGUGAGGGUGUGUACGUUGGUGGGUGGCCUUAUUCGCCUGAGAAAUUGCCACCUGGUGACCCUGCUAUUAUAGAUUGUACUUGUGAAAUUCCCAGAAAAUCGGAAUUCAAAGGGCACCCCUAUUUGUGUAUCCCAACUUGGGAUACAAGGGCACCUCGGCCAGGGGAGAUCGAAUCAGCUGUGAAGUGGGCUUGCCGGAAGAGAGCUCAGAAUCGGCCAAUUUUCAUCCACUGUGCAUAUGGUCAUGGAAGAAGUGUUGCUGUGAUGUGUGCAUUGUUAGUGGCUCUAGGUGUGGUGGAAGAUUGGAAAAUGGCUGAGAAGUUCAUCAAAGAAAAGCGACCUUAUAUUCAGAUGAACUCUCUCCAACAUGAAGCCUUGGAAGAAUGGUCGAGACACAGGCUAUCUUCUCGCAGUCUCCCAGGAGGAACGAGGUAGUGAUAGUGAAUGUAAGUUCUGUAUUUAUGUCUAGUUCCUCAGGAUGUUCAAAAGCUCUUAGGCCAGAGGGCAAUCACUUGUGUUAUAUUUCUUCUAUUUUAUGUGGAUAUUGACUUUUCUUAUAACCUUGUGGCUUAUCUCAUUACAAUAAACUCAAGAUUAUAAGAAAAGUCAAUAUCCACAUAAAA
rnacentral:misc_RNA from 1 species